CCAAGCCCGGGUCAGUAGGCCUAGGAGUGGCAGCUGCAGCAGUUCUGCUGCUCCUGGGGGCAGGUGUUGUCUGGAAAAUCAUUUCCAAGCAGAAGGAAGGAACCCCCCUGAACCCAGACACUGAUCACAAAGGCUCGUGUCUGCCAUAGGAGGCUGGAAAGAGAUCUCAUCCCUGCUGCUGCUGACCAGGCACCCGGCUUGUUCCCUGCAGCGAGGAAGCGCC